rnacentral:rRNA from 1 species
CUAGUCGCACGAGUUCAGACUCGUGGCAGAUAGCUCAGUAACACGUGGCCAAACUACCCUAUAGAUCCGGCCAACCUCGGGAAACUGAGGCUAAUCCGGAAUAACGCUUUCAGCCUGGAGUGGCGAGAGCGUGAAACGCUCCGGCGCUAUAGGAUGUGGCUGCGGCCGAUUAGGUAGACGGUGGGGUAACGGCCCACCGUGCCAGUAAUCGGUACGGGUUGUGAGAGCAAGAGCCCGGAGACGGUAUCUGAGACAAGAUACCGGGCCCUACGGGGCGCAGCAGGCGCGAAACCUUUACACUGCACGCGAGUGCGAUAAGGGGACUCCAGGUGCGAGGGCAUAUAGUCCUCGCUUUUCUCGACCGUAGGGAGGUCGAGGAACAAGUGCUGGGCAAGACCGGUGCCAGCCGCCGCGGUAAUACCGGCAGCACAAGUGAUGACCGCUGUUAUUGGGCCUAAAGCGUCCGUAGCUGGCCAGACAAGUUCAUCGGGAAAUCUGUGCGCCUAACGCACAGGCGUCCGGUGGAAACUGCCUGGCUUGGGACCGGAAGACCAGAGGGGUACGUCUGGGGUAGGAGUGAAAUCCCGUAAUCCUGGACGGACCACCGGUGGCGAAAGCGCCUCUGGAAGACGGAUCCGACGGUGAGGGACGAAAGCUCGGGUCACGAACCGGAUUAGAUACCCGGGUAGUCCGAGCUGUAAACGAUGUCUGCUAGGUGUACACAGGCUACGAGCCUGUGUUGUGCCGUAGGGAAGCCGUGAAGCAGACCGCCUGGGAAGUACGUCCGCAAGGAUGAAACUUAAAGGAAUUGGCGGGGGAGCACUACAACCGGAGGAGCCUGCGGUUUAAUUGGAU